rnacentral:tRNA from 1 species
GCCUUUGUGGUGUAGUGGUCAGAACGCUCGGCGCGUAUUCGAGAGGUCCGUGGUUCGAGCCUCGGCGAAGGCA